CUAUCUCAAAGCGUUGUGGUGUGACUGGAGAAUAAGCUGCCUCUCCACGUGUGACCCACAGACGUGACGGAGCAGAACAAUGAACAGAGAGGAGAGCCUGGAUGGACAGACUGCAGAGGAGGAGAGUGGACAGUGGGAGCUCUUCAGUACCGACUGAAUUGGACAGACAGGCCUCAUCAAAGUGUUUCCUCUACGAGCCGCUGAUGUGUGUGAGCAGAUGUGUGUGUGACGCCGCUGUUAUGCUGAAGGUCAACGGAAAUCUCAAACACAUCUGGAAAAGUACAAUCAUCUGAACUGACAAACAGAUUUAUUCCCUCGCCUCAAGAAAUCUCAUCUGGUCCAAUGCAGACCUCAAAAAAAGUAAGUUAUACUGCGUUUUCCUUGCCUUGGCUUCCUUGUUUUGAACCUUUGCUUUGUUCUGUUUGAUCAUUCCAGUAUGCCGCUUGCCUUCUGACCAUUUGCCUGCUGUUUUGACUACAACUAUGGAUUGCCCUCAUGCAUCUGUUUGCUCCUGUGUUGAUCAUUGCUGGCCUGACCUCGCUAAUAAACUUGCAUGUGGAUC